UGUCUUCUUGUUUUGAUUUGAAGUCGUGCCUGCCCACUGAGGAGUUGAAUGGCCGCGGUAUAUUGACCGUGCAAAGGUAGCAUAAUCAUUAGUCUUUUAAUUGGAGGCUGGAAUGAAUGGUUUGACGAAAUAAUAACUGUCUCGGAGUGAUGUAUUGAAUUUUACUUUUGAGUUAAAAGGCUCAAAUGAAAAUAGGGGACGAGAAGACCCUAUAGAUCUUAAUAUUAUUAUAUUGAAAUUUAUGUUUGGUGGUUUUUUAUAGAUGUUAAUAUAUUGUAUUUGGUUGGGGUGACAAGAGAAUAAUUUAACUUCUUUAUGUUUAACUAUGAUGAUUGGUUAAUUGAUCCUGUAUUAUGGAAUGAAGAUAAAGAUACCUUAGGGAUAACAGCGUAAUGUUAUUGGAGAGUUCAUAUUGAUAAUAAAGAUUGCGACCUCGAUGUUGGAUUAAGAAGAUUGUUAAGUGCAGGAGCUUAAUAUAUUGGUCUGUUCGACCAUUGAAUUCUU
rnacentral:rRNA from 1 species